CCUACGGGUGGCUGCAGUGAGGAAUAUUGGUCAAUGGGCGAGAGCCUGAACCAGCCAAGUCGUGUGAAGGAUGACGGCCCUACGGGUUGUAAACUUCUUUUGUCAGGGAGCAAUUGAGUCCACGUGUGGGCUUAGCGAGAGUACCUGAAGAAAAAGCAUCGGCUAACUCCGUGCCAGCAGCCGCGGUAAUACGGAGGAUGCGAGCGUUAUCCGGAUUUAUUGGGUUUAAAGGGUGCGCAGGCGGAGGUGCAAGUCAGCGGUCAAAUUGCGGGGCUCAACCCCGUACUGCCGUUGAAACUGCAGCCCUUGAGUGCGCGAGAAGUAUGCGGAAUGCGUGGUGUAGCGGUGAAAUGCAUAGAUAUCACGCAGAACCCCGAUUGCGAAGGCAGCAUGCCGGCUUCCGACUGACGCUGAAGCACGAAAGCGUGGGGAUCGAACAGGAUUAGAUACCCCUGUAGUC
rnacentral:rRNA from 1 species